rnacentral:pre_miRNA from 1 species
CAACUACUCCCUCUGUCCCAAAUUUCUUGUCUUAGAUUUUUCUAGAUACGGAUGUAUCUAAUACUAAAAUGUGACUUGAUACAUCCGUAUCUAGACAAAUCUAAGACAAGAAUUUUGGGAAGGAGGGAGUACUUU